CACGGGUGAGUAACGCGUGGGAACCUACCUUGGGGUGGGGAACAACCGCUGGAAACGGCGGCUAAUACCGCAUACGUCCUUAGGGAGAAAGGCUUCGGCCGCCCUUGGAUGGUCCCGCGUCUGAUUAGCUAGUUGGUGAGGUAACGGCUCACCAAGGCGACGAUCAGUAGCUGGUCUGAGAGGAUGAUCAGCCACACUGGAACUGAGACACGGUCCAGACUCCUAC
rnacentral:rRNA from 1 species